GGUUAUUUUGCAAAUUCACUUUCUAUUAUAUACCUUGUCUUCCUUAAUUCUCUUCUUGGUUUUACCGACGCUCCUAAUUUCUCUAAAUCUUCUCUGGUGGAAUAGAUAAUUGUUCGAUACAGACGUAUCAUACUAUGGAUCUCCUGGCUUUAACAAAGAAUAUCAAAGGACCAUACAUAACGCAAUGGUAUCUGAACACUGAAGAGGAAAGUCGAAACUCCAACAUUGAAAUUAAUCAAAAUCAAAAUUUGGAGGUAAUUAAAUAGGAUUUUUGGCGGGACUAACUGGAGUCAAGUACUUGUUGCCCAGGCUGGUGAGUCUCGAAGUAGAUCAGCUGAUCGCUCAAGGCAGUUGCUUAACAUUGAUAGCAUGUUCCUAACAGAGGGUUCGUGCUUUUCUCUUUUAGGGUCUUCUCGUUUUUGCAGUCGGCAUGCCCAUUGCCAUUAGGGAUUCUUCCUGCACCACAUCGCCUGCGAUCUCUUCUUCCCAGUCUACUCCUUCCAUAGAUGAAGCCGCGCCAGAUGACAACCUUUGUCAUUGCCCCUUCAAGCAGUUUCAUGGUUGCUUGAAUGGUGUUAAUGGAGAGGUUAUGUAAAGGGUUCUUUCAUGAAGCAUGUAUAUGGCAAGCAUCUCUUCUCUGAGGAUAACAAGAUCAUAUGCAGGGAUCUGAUUGCUACGAACUUGCACAUUUACUUAGCUUCGGAGAAAGUCCUACGUUGUUUGUGUAUGUGGUUGUGUUGCAGAUGUAUGCAUCUGCGUGGUUGGAAUAAAGCUUGCAAGGGGAGAAACGGAGUUGUUCAUGGUGAUGUUAUUGCUGGACCUCACAAUGGUGCAGAGGUUGAGUUCUUCUUCAAGGUUUGGAUAAACCCAGUGAGAUUUUGUCAAUCUGGUUGAGUUCUACCAGCACUGCGGCUUGUGAUGCUAUCACAUAGUGAUGUUGUUGUCACAGAUGGUACUGACGUUUUAGGAGUCUCCCUGUAUACUGAUGUUGAACCCUCCAUGUAUACAAACCUGCUAAAUGUUGUGCUUCAAAGUGGUGGAGUAUU